GGCGAACGGGUGAGUAACACGUGGGCAAUCUGCCCUUCACUCUGGGACAAGCCCUGGAAACGGGGUCUAAUACCGGAUAACACUUCUUCGGGCAUCUGAAGAGGUUAAAAGCUCCGGCGGUGAAGGAUGAGCCCGCGGCCUAUCAGCUUGUUGGUGGGGUAAUGGCCUACCAAGGCGACGACGGGUAGCCGGCCUGAGAGGGCGACCGGCCACACUGGGAUUGAGACACGGCCCAGACUCCUACGGGAGGCAGCAGUGGGGAAUCUUGCGCAAUGGGCGAAAGCCUGACGCAGCGACGCCGCGUGAGUGAUGAAGGCCUUCGGGUUGUAAAGCUCUGUGGAGGGGGACGAAUAAGGGUUGGCUAACAUCCAGCUCGAUGACGGUACCCCUUUAGCAAGCACCGGCUAACUCUGUGCCAGCAGCCGCGGUAAGACAGAGGGUGCAAACGUUGUUCGGAAUUACUGGGCGUAAAGCGCAUGUAGGCGGUUCGUAAAGUCAGAUGUGAAAGCCCUGGGCUCAACCCAGGAAGUGCAUUUGAAACUCACGAACUUGAGUCCCGGAGAGGAAGGCGGAAUUCUCGGUGUAGAGGUGAAAUUCGUAGAUAUCGAGAGGAACAUCGGUGGCGAAGGCGGCCUUCUGGACGGUGACUGACGCUGAGAUGCGAAAGCGUGGGGAGCAAACAGGAUUAGAUACCCUGGUAGUCC
rnacentral:rRNA from 1 species